GAACAAUUCAUCACUUAACAUACAAUGCACCUGAUCUUGUCUGAUCUCAGAAGCUAAGCAGGGUCAGGCCUGGUUUGUACUUGGAUGGGAGACAUUGUCUUUCUGGAGAAAUUUUUG
rnacentral:rRNA from 1 species